rnacentral:rRNA from 1 species
AGUGAACGCUGGCGGCGUGCCUAAUACAUGCAAGUAGAACGGAGGGGCGCACGGGUGAGGAAUGUAAAGCUAAUCUGCCCUACACAAGAGGACAACAGUUGGAAACGACUGCUAAUACUCUAUAGUGUAGGAUGAGGCUAUAUUGUAUCAGCUAGUUUGGGAGGUAAUUGCUCACCAAGGCUAUGACGCAUAACUGGUCUGAGAGGAUGAUCAGUCACCCUUGAACUGAGACACGGUCCAGACUCCUACGGGAGGCAGCAGUAGGGUAUAUUGCUCCAUGGGGGAAACCCUGAAGCAGCAACGCCGCGUGGAGGAUGACACUUUUCGGAGCGUUAACUCCUUUUGUUAGGGAAGCGGUACCUAACGAAUAAGCCCCGGCUAACUCCGUGCCAGCAGCCGCGGUAAUUC